AGGCCAUUAAACCCUUCUGGUGGCAAAGAUGGAGGCUAGAGACAGGUGGUGGUGGGCUGCAGUGAACUGCCAGUAGCAUUCAGGUAUGGAGUCCUUGUUGCUUGGUACCAUGUUGUGCAAAGUGAGCAACAGCUCAGGAAAGCGUGUGUGUAAAUAAGCAGACAACACCACCAACUGCAGAGCAUAGUGAAGACAUGUGAAAACCCAGUUCUUCCAUAGGAGUCAGCCAACUCCUGGAGCAGUCUACAUAAUUCCCUGCAGACUUCAGCCUGUUUCUCUGUGGAGAUGAGGAUUUUUGGAAUGGGGGAGAGCUACUACUCCUCCCCUUCUGUCUGAGUCUGCUAAGGAGUCUCAAUUCAUGGAACUCUUCAUCUGAGGCCUGGAAGUCAUAUAUAAAAAUCUGUCAUGGGACAGCCCCUCCCUGGAGAAGCUUCAAAUGGCUUUGGAGGUGGUUCAUUCAAGGCCUUGCAAAUCUACUCUGCUCUGGGCCUGGAAAGGCUUGUCAUCCUCUUGGCCAAGAAGUCUCCCACAGAGGUCUGCCUCCUUCCUGUUGCAUAGUUCUGCUUCCAGACUACUUGCCACAGCCAUCUGCCUGGCCCUGUUGUGUCCUGCAACUAUUUGUGCUUCCCACGGUGUUACUGGAAGGAAAAUUGGGCAUUUUCUUCCAGAGCUGAUGGAGCCAUGGUCCCUGUGAACAUUGGUGCAAGAAUGGUAAGACAUGGAAACUGCCAAAAGGUGCAGUAAUGCGUCUGGAAGAUGAUUAUUUCUGGGUUGUUCAAUUACUGGGAUUAAUCAUGCAGUGAAGACAUAGCCAAGAGCAGAGGUACUUUGGAAAAGAAGCUGCUAGCUGUAUUUCCAAGUUAGUGUCAGAAACCCUUCAUUUGA